rnacentral:rRNA from 1 species
GACGUAGGUGGCGAACGUUAUCCGGAAUUAUUGGGCGUAAAGGGUGCGUAGGUGGCCUGACAAGUUAUCAGUGGCAAAUCGAGGCUCAACCUCGCUGGAAACUGGUAAUACUGUUCGGCUUGAGUACAGGAGAGGUUAACGGAACUCUAUGUGGAGCGGUAAAAUGCACAGAUAUAUGGAAGAACAUCAAUAAAGGCGAAGGCAGUUAACUAUUCUGUUACUGACGCUGAGGCACGAAAGCGUGGGGAGCAAAACGG